AUGCAAGAGAUAUCCUUCCAGCUCACUUGGCACACCUGCAAGAUUUCAGCUAACUUCAUAACGUUCAGACAUUCAAAUCUGUAUACACAUGCUUUAGAGGUUGUAAAGCUUGGUGAUGCAAAUCCAAUUGCAUAUAAUUGCGCAAUGGAACUUCUUAGGGCAGCAAUGGAUAAACUGACCCCUUUAGCUUCUGAGCAUGAUGGUCUGGGUUUGGAACACAGAACUGAAUUCAAGAGGGCAAAAGUUACAGAAUUAAGUCUCUUGCAAGGACCAGAAAAUGGAUGCAUGAGCGACGAUGAAGGUAGCGCCGUCGGAAAUUACAUUGGAUUAUCAGCUCCAGAACGCAAACGCAAAGCCGGUCGACCAACGAACGCAGAGACAAGCCUCCAUAUGAUGACCGGUCUGCAAAGAGCAAAAAAGUUAAGGUUGCAUCACAACUUGAUACAGUUAUCGGAUGCAGUACAAGCAAGCCAACACGAUUCUGCACUAUAUGUUGUGGCCCUGGUCAUAAGAGCACGACGUGUCCACAAAGAGGGGACACCCCUCAAAAGAAAAGGAAAGAAGCGAAAUGCUCAAUCUGCGGAGUGGGAGGGCAUCGAAAGAACACCUGUAGCAAUCCUAAGAUUGUGGUACAUGUUGCCGAGCAACCAGCUCAUUAUCCUGCUAUCGAAGCAUCUUUCCCCUGCAUCCUGA
rnacentral:rRNA from 1 species